GCCAGCGUGGUGUACUGGUUUGAGUGUUGGAUUGCAACUCUGGAGGCCAGGGUUCGAAUCCCAGCUCGGCCA